GACGAACGCUGGCGGCGUGCUUAACACAUGCAAGUCGAACGGUGAAGCUCCAGCUUGCUGGAGUGGAUCAGUGGCGAACGGGUGAGUAACACGUGAGCAACCUGCCCCAGACUCUGGAAUAAGCGCUGGAAACGGCGUCUAAUACUGGAUACGAGAUCAAGCCGCAUGGUUAUGGUCUGGAAAGUUUUUCGGUUUGGGAUGGGCUCGCGGCCUAUCAGCUUGUUGGUGAGGUAAUGGCUCACCAAGGCGACGACGGGUAGCCGGCCUGAGAGGGCGACCGGCCACACUGGGACUGAGACACGGCCCAGACUCCUACGGGAGGCAGCAGUGGGGAAUAUUGCACAAUGGGCGAAAGCCUGAUGCAGCGACGCCGCGUGAGGGAUGACGGCCUUCGGGUUGUAAACCUCUUUCAGCAGGGAAGAAGCGAGAGUGACGGUACCUGCAGAAGAAGCACCGGCUAACUACGUG
rnacentral:rRNA from 1 species